GACGAACGCUGGCGGCGUGCCUAAUACAUGCAAGUCGAACGAACCGCGACUAGGUGCUUGCACUUGGUCAAGGUGAGUGGCGAACGGGUGAGUAACACGUGGGUAACCUACCUCAUAGUGGGGGAUAACAGUCGGAAACGACUGCUAAUACCGCAUAGGACAUAGGAUCACAUGAUCCAGUGAGGAAAGGUGGCGCAAGCUAUCGCUAAGAGAUGGACCCGCGGUGCAUUAGCUAGUUGGUAGGGUAAAGGCCUACCAAGGCGAUGAUGCAUAGCCGACCUGAGAGGGGGAUCGGCCACAUUGGGACUGAGAAACGGCCCAAACUCCUACGGGAGGCAGCAGUAGGGAAUCUUCCGCAAUGGACGCAAGUCUGACGGAGCAACGCCGCGUGAGUGAAGAAGGUCUUCGAUCGUAAAGCUCUGUUGUUAGAGAAGAACAGCGCAUAGAGUAACUGUUAUGCGUGUGACGGUAUCUAACCAGAAAGCCACGGCUAACUACGUG
rnacentral:rRNA from 1 species